GGUCCAUUCAUUGUAUUUACUUGAAUUUAACGUGCUGAUAAAUAAAUUCGAUCAAUUUCUAUGACAUCUAUCCGAAUUUGUUGACAGUGGUCAUCUUAAUUUAACUUGCAUGUAUUAGAAAUUAAAAGACAAUAUGUGUAAAAUCUAUUUAGCCAUGCCUUUAAAACAAAAGUAAUCAUAUAUCGGGGAAAAAAACGUUUCAUUUUGUUAAAAUAAAAUAAUGAUACAGGGUCCGUGUUCAUCAGACAUCAUGUCAAAAUUAAUCAGAAUAGAUUCGUUAUAAACAAAGUUAAGGAAUAUUGAAUGUUUCCUUCUUAAGUCUAAGCUUAAGAUUAUUAAACGUUGAUGAAUGCGGGCCCAGGUAACAAAGUUGCUAAGUUAAAAGCAAGAUCAGCGAUGUUUGCAAUGAUCUUAUAUUCUAUCUUUUUUCUAGUUUAAAUGGCAUCGGACUCUAUAAUGAUGAGUGAGAAUUCACAGUCUGGUUUCUCUGUCUACAAAAAAGAUAAAAAAUCCUGCUCAUGUGAAAUGUCCAUUUUGUGACAAGGAAGUCGAUACAAAAACAACGAUUUUACUAUUGGGGUGUAUUCCAUGUAGUUGCUUGCCUUGCUUGCUGUGCAAAGAUGUUGCCCACAACUGUCCGAAUUGUCAAAAAGAGGUCAGACGCUACGACGGUUUGCACUAGACUUGUCCAAAGCGUACAAAUCGUAGAAGCCACGACGACUUGUACAGGUCAUGUCCUUAUUGUCAAGAUUUUGUCCUAUGCUACAAUGACUUGUCACUGGUAUUUUGUUAGUCCAACUUGUGUCGUAAUUAUUACUUACAUUUUAUUUCCAAGAACAUAAAUGUCAACAAUAUCAUUAUUAUGAACUUAGUGCUAGUAUUAUACCUGCUGUUAUGUCAAUGUAUAAGCCUUGCUAUAGUUAAAUUUUGUAUAGUAUGUAUUGUACCUCAUUAUGUCAUGUUACCAUGAAUUAAUAGAAAUAAACGGAUUGAAUUGAA